GAUGAACGCUGGCGGCGUGCCUAAUACAUGCAAGUCGAGCGAACAGAUGAGGAGCUUGCUCCUCUGACGUUAGCGGCGGACGGGUGAGUAACACGUGGAUAACCUACCUAUAAGACUGGGAUAACUACGGGAAACCGGAGCUAAUACCGGAUAAUAUAUUGAACCGCAUGGUUCAAUAGUGAAAGACGGUUUUGCUGUCACUUAUAGAUGGAUCCGCGCCGCAUUAGCUAGUUGGUAAGGUAACGGCUUACCAAGGCAACGAUGCGUAGCCGACCUGAGAGGGGGAUCGGCCACACUGGAACUGAGACACGGUCCAGACUCCUACGGGAGGCAGCAGUAGGGAAUCUUCCGCAAAGGGCGAAAGCCUGACGGAGCAACGCCGCGUGAGUGAUGAAGGUCUUCGGAUCGUAAAACUCUGUUAUUAGGGAAGAACAAAUGUGUAAGUAACUAUGCACGUCUUGACGGUACCUAAUCAGAAAGCCACGGCUAACUACGUG
rnacentral:rRNA from 1 species